rnacentral:lncRNA from 1 species
GCCUUCCCCUCCUCGCAGCUGGUCAUUGCUGUGGGUGUAAUUUAAGGCAGAACUUGGCCUUUCUUACAUAUUUCAUUUACUCCCUUGAUUUUAAUUGACCCUGUUACGGGCAUUUCAAGCAUUUCACGAGCCUGUGGUGCCUGGUUUCCCAGGUCAGAGAGAGGUUUUCUCAGACCCUCUGUCCCAACAGGGCUGUUGGCAGCAUGAGCAGAUACCCCUCCCCUGGAACAACCCUGUUCUGUGGGAUUGGGAUCCAGCUUGAAGGUCACCAAGCCCUCAGACCAACAGAGGUCAUCAAGACUCUUCAUCCAGCAUGCAAAAGAAGGAUUUCCCCCUCCUUCAGGCCUCCUUAUCACUUGCUCAGAGGCUCAGGAGACAGAAGGAAGGGACAGUCAAGAGAAAUGAUGAGCCUAGAGAAUAAAUCUGAACAGCAGCCCUUGGUGAAAAAGGAGGUGACAAAAGACUCUGCUCAGCUGCCCAAAUGGAUUGCACUGUUUGAGACAUCUUAAAGUAUCCAAGACACCAGGCAUGGCUGGAAGAAGUGACAAGAGACCUGUAGAAAACCAUAUUCUCCCAGCAAGGCAGAUCUCCAGAGUGCCUCAAAUGACCCCUAGGAGGUUUAACCCUCUCACACCAAGUGAUAUCCCAGCUUUGUUUUGCUCUUCCUUGAGUCCCUUAAAGGUUUCACCAAUGGGUUUCUUCCCAACUUUGUAGACAUGACAUAACUCUUUCUCUUCAUCUCAGCAUCCACCUUUUGAUUCCUCUCCUCACAGGAAGUGUGUGGAGUGACCCCAGCCUUUGCUCCCACUGUCCAAACUGUUUUGGAAUGGUGGGAGACAGCCAACUUUUCCGGGGUCCGUGUGAAAGAAGCUAAAUGGGAGCAUGAAGGUGGUAAUGGAGUGGAAGCAGAGCAAGGAAAACCUCACUGAUGGAUUAUUAGGCACUGUCAAAGUUUCAGCAGAGUGGAAAACUUGGAGGCAGGAGUAGUAACCCAUGAAAAAUCACCUCUUCCUUUUCCUGUUCAUGGCAGGGCAGCGUGUCCAGAUCAAAGCCACCCGUCACUGCUCGGCCUCAGUCACACAAUUUACGAGGCACUGGGGCACCA